CUGGGGAAAAAAUGUCUGAAACAAAAAACCUGGGCUUGUCUACAGGCAGUUGCUGUACUACCAUCAGUGCAUGUUCCUGUGUGUUUGCCUGCCUUCUACUCUGACCAAAGGUUUGAUAUUAGCAGUGUCUCACUUUGACGUGGCAUGGGAGUUAUGGGAAUUACUGUCUCUUUGGGGAGUCCAGCUAUAGUGGAAAAUAAAGAAACAAGGACCGGAUCUACUAAACCAAAUCCAAGAACAGAAUAGAUCUUACUGGUCUACAUUUCUACAUAAAUGAGAG